GAUAAAUGAAAAUGGGGCUUAGAACAGCAAAUGCAAGUCAACCUGGGAAGACAGUGGCUGGAAAGUAGUAACAGAAAAAGAGUUUGGUUUAAUAGGAGUUGAAAUGUUACAGGUAUUUAAAGUGGUACUAUCUUCAUAAAGACAAAUCCAGUCUAGCAAUGGGUAACUUGCAGGAUGUCAUGCAAGAACCUGGAGAAACUUCACACAGAUGUGGAUCAAAUUGCAGAAGAGAAUGGAUUCCUUUGGGACUCUAUGACUGAGGACUUUGGAGCUGGAGAAGCAGGAGACCAUGAUAACAGUCUUAGAGGGGUGUUCUGAGGCUGACUUCUGUUGGACUAACAAAAGGGGGAACUUUUGUACUGAAGACCAGGACUCUUGCCAUCUAAGACCUGAGGUGGUCAGGAAUGAGAAAUCAGUUCUCUCUCAUGGCAAAGCAACUACGGUUCUGCUGGUACAUAUAAUGGAAGGACACAUGAAUUAACCCAAUAAUUUGAGUAUUUUUUAAAGAAAAAUAAAAAAGUAGAUGAAGUGGUUUAUUUAUAUUAUUUGUGAAUGCUAAUAUUGUACAAAAGAGCAUCACCUCAGUAUAUGCCAUGCUCAGAAUUGCCAGCUUCAAGAAUUAAAAAAUGAUGAAUCAGGCCCCCACAAUUAAAGAUCAGCUUAAAAUGAUGACAUUUUUAAAGAUGUGCUAACUAAAAGAAUAAAGACUAUGUGCUAACUACUUAUGUUAAACUAUCUGUUUGAUCUUGUAAUUAGCUGUGACACUAUACC